rnacentral:rRNA from 1 species
CCCUUAGACGUUCUGGGCCGCACGCGCGCUACACUGACGAAGGCAACGAGCUUUCCUUUACCGCAAGGUACGGGUAAUCUUUUGAAACUUCGUCGUGCUGGGGAUAGAUCCUUGCAAUUAUUGAUCUUAAACGAGGAAUUCCUAGUAAGCGCAAGUCAUCAACUUGCGUUGAUUACGUCCCUGCCCUUUGUACACACCGCCCGUCGCUACUACCGAUUGAAUGGUUUAGUGAGGCCUUCGGAUCCGCGACUCGUUUUGUGGAGAAGUUGGACAAACUCAGUCAUUUAGAGGAAGUAAAAGUCGUAACA